UCGAACGAUGAAGCCCUUCGGGGUGGAUUAGUGGCGAACGGGUGAGUAACACGUGGGCAAUCUGCCCUUCACUCUGGGACAAGCCCUGGAAACGGGGUCUAAUACCGGAUAACACUCGCCGAGGCAUCUCGGUGGGUUGAAAGCUCCGGCGGUGAAGGAUGAGCCCGCGGCCUAUCAGCUUGUUGGUGAGGUAGAAGCUCACCAAGGCGACGACGGGUAGCCGGCCUGAGAGGGCGACCGGCCACACUGGGACUGAGACACGGCCCAGACUCCUACGGGAGGCAGCAGUGGGGAAUAUUGCACAAUGGGCGAAAGCCUGAUGCAGCGACGCCGCGUGAGGGAUGACGGCCUUCGGGUUGUAAACCUCUUUCAGCAGGGAAGAAGCGAAAGUGACGGUACCUGCAGAAGAAGCGCCGGCUAACUACGUGCCAGCAGCCGCGGUAAUACGUAGGGCGCAAGCGUUGUCCGGAAUUAUUGGGCGUAAAGAGCUCGUAGGCGGUCUGUCACGUCGGAUGUGAAAGCCCGGGGCUUAACCCCGGGUCUGCAUUCGAUACGGGCAGACUAGAGUGUGGUAGGGGAGAUCGGAAUUCCUGGUGUAGCGGUGAAAUGCGCAGAUAUCAGGAGGAACACCGGUGG
rnacentral:rRNA from 1 species